UUAUCUAAUCUGUAACUUUAAUUACUUUUUUAACUGUUAGGAGCCGAAUUCCGUCCUCUUUGACCCGAUCAAAGAUCCUCCUCGGGAAGCGCGUCGGGGUGAUGAGCGGCUGCGGAUAGUGACCAUCGAAGUUUGCGCCCUUCGACUGGAUCAAGCAAUUCGGCUGAUGAGGGAUCGAAUUAGCCUGGUCCGAAAACUCUUUUCACUCUUUGGUUCGGCUGGAUGAGCCGAAUAUGCGGGGAAAGUCGGAAAUUAAGCCAGGAGAUGAGUCGAAUGGCUAGCACAAUACAAAAUCUAAUCGGCCUGAAUAGCCGAACGUGACUUUCUAUUGAAUAGAAAAUGGAAAAGUACAAGAACAAGAGAGUGAUGCCCGUGGGGCAGACAGACUCCAAGUAUAUUCUACAAGAGAGUGAUGCCCAUGGAGCAGACAGACUCCAAGUAUAUUCUAUAAGGGAGUGAUGCCUAUGGGGCAGACAGACUCCAAAGAUCUAAGUUACAAGAACUACUCAUAGGAAAAGCAGUAAAUACGAGAAAGAAAGAUGCAGAAAAAUAAGGGUGGUCUUUUGUGCGCGGGGGCAAAGACCUUUAUUGCACGCUUCAAAGUUACUAUUUAUAGCCCACAUUAUUAGUUGGUUGAAAGUAGUUGGGGGGAGUGGUUGUAAUCAUGAUCGUGGAAGUUAUACUAACUCCUCAUGGAAGUUAUACGCCCCAAUCUUCAACCGUUCUCGUCUUCUUGUCCUUCAGGCGCCUUACUGCCGACUCCUGGUGUACCAGGUGUCCUUAUUCGCUCAUACGUGGGUUAGGUCGGCUCAAUUUUGGUAUCAACAAUGCCCCCCAAAUAGUCUUUCGAAUGAACAUGUAACGACCCAGCCCACUAGCAACAAUAACUCGUUGGGCCCAAACCACCAGCCCAAAAUGCUUAAGCCCAGUUAUUAUUACUAGUGUCUAAGUCUCUUAUAAACCCAAUGACAAUCCCAUUCCCAUU
rnacentral:lncRNA from 1 species